rnacentral:rRNA from 1 species
UACGUAGGGCGCAAGCGUUGUCCGGAAUUAUUGGGCGUAAAGAGCUCGUAGGUGGCGUGUCGCGUCUGCCGUGAAAGCCCAUGGCUUAACUGUGGGUCUGCGGUGGAUACGGGCAGGCUGGAGGCUGGUAGGGGCAAGCGGAAUUCCUGGUGUAGCGGUGAAAUGCGCAGAUAUCAGGAGGAACACCGGUGGCGAAGGCGGAUCUCUGGGCCUUACCUGACGCUCAGGCGCGAAAGCUAGGGGAGCGAACUGG